UUCACCUAAUAAUUUGGAUUCCAAGAUUCAUCACAACAACCUUCUCAAUAACAUACUAGCAAAGAUUGAAAGUAACAAUGCGAAUGCCGCUGACGCCAUUAUGCUUGACAAGGAUGGUUAU